rnacentral:tRNA from 1 species
CAGAGAAUAGUUUAUUAAAAAUAUUAAUUUUGGAGAUUAAUGAUAGAGAUUAUUCUUUUUCUCUGA